rnacentral:lncRNA from 1 species
UUUUUUUUAAUAUAUUUUUUAAAAUAAAAUUUUAAAAUUAUUAUUUGAUGUAGGUAUUGGGGUAGAAAAUGGAGUGUAGGAAUAACCUUACUCUUAUCAAUAUCUCUCGUAUAGAGGAGGAAACAUAUAAGCUUAUUGAAACACUACUUUUAUUUUCUAUAUACUAUAUGAUUACACGUACGUACACACACAAAAUCAUAGUCAUCAUCAUGUACAUACACGAGUGACCAAUAGAAGUAACGGCAACAAAGGUAUUUGUGAUAGAGAAUGCAGCUGAGGGUGCCUCAGCUUCUCCUGCUGGGCCAUUUGUUCCUGGUGCUGGUGGAGAAGAAGUGUUUGGGGUUGGUGAUGAAGGAGAAGAAGUGGUUGAAGGAGAGGGUGCUGGAGAAGAAGUUGUUGCAGGAGAAGGUGUUGGUGAUGUGUUUGUGGAGGGUGAUGGAGCAGGUGCUGAAUUGGGUGAUAAUGAUUGUGUGGGUGCGGGUGCAGGAGCCUGUUGUGCUAUGCAUGAGGUAGCCAAAAGCCCCAAUAUCAAAAACACUUUGACUGCAAGAGAACCCAUGUUUUAUUUAUAUAUAUGUUUUUGUGAUAGAGAAGAAUGUUGAGUGAAAUAUGAUUCCUCCAAAUAAAUAGUUUGUAAGAUAAUUGAUUUGUGUAAAGUUCAAGUCCAUAAUUGGGGGUAUAUAUAGUGUGCAAAUAUGCUUGUGUGUUUUCUUAGCGAAUCGGUGUCUGAUUAAUAAUUAGUCAAAUAAAAUAAAACACUACAUUUCCUUUUGUUUUGCAUGCAAUUUUCAUUUUCCAAUUGAUAUUUUUUAAUGAUAUUUUUGUCUUUUUUUAGCGAGGGCGGUUGUGACUUUAGAUGAGUAAUAGGUCAAAUAAAAUAAAAGACUACUUUUCCUUAUUUUUUAAAAGAUAUUAUUUCUUUAAUGCAAAUUUCUUUUUACAAUAAACAUUUACUUUGUGUUUGCAAGUGCAAGUUAAGUAAUACGACACUGGUUGUGUGCAGGCGAAGUUUCGACGUACGGUAUAACCGCGUUUAACCAUUCUCAAUUUGAUUUUUUCUCUGUUUCUAGGUUACCCAGUCAAAGAUUGAUUUGUUCACGUGACAGUGAAGGAUAAGGAAAGCGCUAUCUUUUAUAAUUAUUCGAUUAAAAGAAAAAGAAGCAAAGUUACAAAAUUAAAAGAUAAGAUAAAAUUUUAAAAUAAAUAGUAUUUUUUUUGGUUUAAAGUAAAUAGUUAAAGGUGUGAAAAACAGUUUUCUCAUUAAAAAGUUUAUAAAAAAAUUUAAUAGAAUUUAAUUUUAGUUAAAGAAAGAGUGCAAAGUAAAAGAAAAUUUAAAUCAUUAUUCUUCUGAUUCUAUUUAUAAGAGAAAAUUAAUUUGUUAAGUUUAUUAAAUAAUUAAUGUAUUUGAUUUAAUAUAUCGUCUAAAUAUAUUGAUUAUUCCAUGAAUAUAAAGUAUAAAUUUUCUCCCUAAAUAUAACCGGAGAUAGUAAUCAGCAAAUCCUAAAAAUUAUUAAGGUAUCUUUAUCUUUAAAAUACUGCAUGGUGCGACAAGUUCAAGGAAAUAUUCAAUUUAGCAAUUUGUUACAAAAAUGUUUGACAAAUGAAAUGUACUGGCGUCUGGCAAAAGUCCGGAAUCAGGGCCAAUUUGUUUUAGCUUAUAAAAAAUAGAUUUUUUAUUUUUAUUUUUGAAAAUGAAUUUUACAAAAAUAUUUUUUAAAAUAUUAAGAGUUUUUCUACAUUUGUUUUUUUAUAGAUUGAAUUGUUCAUUGUAUAACAUAAAUAUAGAUUAUUGGAGAUUAAAACAUACUCAAAAUCACAAUUUUUUCAAAAAGUUGUAUCUUAAAAAUGAUUUUUAUGAAAAACUAUUUGAAAUAGCUUCAAAAUUAAGUGAUUUUUUAAAAUUUUGAUAUCCAAAAAAAGUUUCGAUAAAAUGAUGAAAUACCUAAAAUAACAUUUUAAGAAUAACUAUUCAAACCAAAUUUUCAUUUGAAGCUUUUAUGAAAAGUUUCUUUGUAAAUAUCCAAAAAAAGUUUCGAUAAAAUGAUGAAAUACCUAAAAUAACAUUUUAAGAAUAACUAUUCAAACCAAAUUUUCAUUUGAAGCUUUUAUGAAAAGUUUCUUUGUAAAUUUUUUUUACACUAAAUUAUAUAACACUAUAAAAAUCAUUUUUAAAAAAGCCAAAACAAACGGGCCCUAGAUUGAUUCAAUAUGACAUUUUACAAAGUAAUUUGGGAUAUUAUUAAAUUUGAUUAAUUUGACAGUGUUAAUGAAUUAUUCUCUACGGAUCAUCUUCCAAAAGCUAUCAAUGCUUCUUUUUCUCGCUUUAACUCUGUUUGUCGAUGUUACUGUCAUCCUUGGAGACUAAUAAAAUAUUUGGGGUGAAGAGGGUCCCGAUAAUCAUGUGACUAAUGAUGUUGAAGAAAAAGAUAAGGAAGAAAAGGAUGUUGCUGCUGGUGAUAAUUAUGAAAAUGACACAAAUGCCUCUGUUGGCAUCUGAGUUGCUUGUUCUUAUUUUGUUUGAUUUUGUGGGCUUUGCCUUGGAUUUUUUUUAGCACCCUUGUGUGCUUUCGUAUGUACCCCUAACUCAUUUUCUGGUUGUUGAUUCUGGUUUCGAUAAAUGUCUGUUUGGUUUGUCAAUAUUCUAGCUAAAAGGGGGGAGUAGUGUGUGUAUAAUGUAUGUAUUUGUGUGUUGUUUGCCUUGGGUGUGAAGUGUUCCGGUUGUUUCAUUGAGGGGGAGUAUGGGCUCCGUGUGGCAGGGGGACUAAUACCUUGAUAGUUGAUCAUGCCAUUCAGGGGGAGUAUGGUGUUUGUGUGCUUAGGCUCUAUGGGUGCUUGCUGUAUAGUUGUGAUGUCAGACAUAAUGUCUUGGCAUUUUAUGUCAGAGAAUCUUUUCUCUAUGUGAUUUUUUUUUCUUUGAGGCUGGGUUUCUUCUCUAUAUUUCUGUUGCACGUGCCUCUGUUUUAUCUUGGUGGUAUACCAAGUUUAUGUGUGUUCUUUUUGUGAUUAUGAUUGCUGAUGUUGUGUGACUCUUUCUCCAUUUAUAUUAUGCAAAGGUUAUUUUAGCCAAAAUUUGCCAAAGGGGGAGAUUGUUAGGUAUGUGAUUUUAUGAUUGACAAUAAUUUUGUUAAAAUAUGUAUCACAACAAGAUGUUGAGCGAGAUGUCUUGACAUGUUGAUCAAACAUCUUUGCAGGAUCUGUUUUGCUUUUUGGAAGAUUUAUUUUAUUAUGAGAUCUCUGAAGAUUCUCUGAAUAUUCAACUAUCUUAUCUAACUAUCUGAGAAGGUUUAUUUUAUGAACACAUGGUUCUGUCCCAGCUGUGCGCUUGUUUCUUAAAAAGGAAUGUUGUGAAAUUUUACGAAACAUAUGAUCUUGUACCUGAUUUUAUGCAGAAGAUUCUACAGGAUUAGUGCAGCUGUCCAAAUUAGAUCUAUUGCGGUUUUUAAGCCUAAGCACAUGCUUACCAAAGGCUAUUUAAAGAGGACGUUACUAAACCUAAUUAACAGAAGUGAGAUCUACGCUUGAUAUUAUUGGAAUUAGGGUUUUAGUUGUUCUUUGUUAUUUCUUAUGAGCCACAAUUAUAUCACUUUGAUAUUAGAGUUGGUAUGUGUUUGAUUUGUAAUUGGUAAAUCACUCAUAAGCUUUUAAGCAGAGUGGGUUAUAUGUUUUAGAAGUGUGUUUUCCAUUAUUUGAUUAAAGUCAUUAUCAAUGUGUGUGAUUGAAGGGAAGUGAAAGGGGUCUCAUAUCUAGGAGAGUCUUAGAUAGAAAUAACAAGGGUAGUGAUUAGGUGCGAAGAUUGUAAACAGGAGGUUUUUUACUGAGGUCUUCAAACUAAUACUAUUAUAGUGGAUUUCCUUCCUUGCUUUGAUGCACCUAGUUGCACCGAACUGGGUUAACAAUCAUCUAUAAAAAAGUGCGCACAUAAAACAGAGUCGCCACAGAUGAUAUUUAUCCCAAGAUGGGGAAAGGAAUCACUGAGUAAACCUACAAAAAGGAUGAAUCUAAUGGUCUCGCAACCAAGAGAUGGGUAAGGGAGUCGAUCACGCAAGGGAAAAUUAUUAGCACCCCUCACGUCUAUAGUACUCUACAGGAUCCACUCUUGUUGUUCUGAUCGAAAAGGUGUGUUUAUUCUAAAACUUGUAAGAACAAAAAUUGUUCUACAACAGAUUCCUUGAUUUUGAUGAUAACAAAGGAUGAAACCAAAAAUGGCACCCUAACGAAAAGUUUCUAAGUGUGCAGGGUUCUAAAGAAAGAAGUAAUAAAUCUGAUGAUGUCAUCAGAUGCACAACAAGAUCAGAUACAAAUUCUCAAGUAUCAGAAGCAUCUGAAGUGGAAUCUCGUUCAAGAAAGUCUGACUCUGGACAAAACUGCAAAGUAUCAGAAGCAUCUGAACAUGAAGUAAAGUCUAGAAGCUCUGACUCUGAACAAAUGCCUUCUGUAAAUUCUGAAGUUAUCAGCGCCAUCUGAACUUUCAAGAGAUAACAUCAGAAGCCAGUUUCUCCAGAUACACGAAGACUCUAAUCAGAAUUGUUAAUCAUGAUGAAGUAACGUUUAAGCCAAGUUAAAGUUCUGCAAAUGGAUUUCCUCAAUUAGAAAGAGACGUUAAUCUCCACUUCCAAGAGAGAAGAUACUAAUUGUGGUAAGUAGUCACUUCUAAGAGAAAAAGUCUACUGCAGAAGCUAUUAAUGGAAUGGCGUAACUACAUCUCAAUAUCCAACAGAUUCAACGCUACUUCAACUCUACUUCAACUCCUAUAAAUAGAGAAGAAAUCUCAUUCAGUAAACACGAAGAAAUCACUAGCCAAAACUAUACUGAAAUUAUAUCACGCUCAAGAAAAACAUCUUUGUUCUUCAAAGAUUUUCACUAAGCUUUUGCUUAUCAAGUGAAAAAUUUGUUCUUAAGUUUGUAAUAUUUGCUUUCUUAGAAGCACUCUAGAUUACACAUCUUGUAUCUAAUUUUUAUUUGAUUUCCUCAAGUGACUCUUUGUAGUCUGUAGACUUGAGAGGACUAAGAGAUUUUCUUCUCUCUUAGGGGUUGUUUGUAAUCUUUCAAGAUUAGUGGAUUAAGUCCUUGUUGAAGGCGAAAUCACCUUGGCCGGGUGGACUGGAGUAGCUUUGUGUUAUAAGCGAACCAGUAUAAAAUCCUUGUGUGAUUUUCAUUUUGAAAAGCGCUUAUUUUUCCAAACAAUUCAAACCCCCCCUUUCUUGUUUUUCUCACCUUCAAUUGGUAUCAGAGCUCCGGCUCUGUUAUUGAUUUUCAAAUCAAACACUUAACCGUGUAGAGAGAUCCAGUGCGAGAAAAACAAAUGGCCCACUCAAAUGAGAAAGAUUCUUACAAUGCCAAGCCUCCUGUUUUUGAUGGAGAAAAGUUUGAUUACUGGAAAGAUAGAAUCGAAAGUUUCUUUCUGGGUUAUGAUGCUGACCUCUGGGACAUUGUCACAGAUGGAUACACACCUCCAGUCUUAAAUGGAGCUGAAGUUCCCAGAAGUAAGAUGUCAGAAGAUCAGAAACGUGUCUUCAAAAAUCACCACAAGGCCAGAACAAUACUUCUAAAUGCUAUAUCAUACAACGAAUAUGAAAAGAUCACCAACAGAGAGACAGCCAAAGAUAUACUUGACUCUCUGAAGAUGACCCAUGAAGGAAACUCCCAAGUCAAGGAGACGAAGGCUCUGGCGCUUAUCCAGAAAUAUGAAGCCUUCAAAAUGGAAGAUGACGAAGCUAUAGAGGCUAUGUUUUCCAGAUUUCAAACUCUUAUUGCAGGUCUUAAAGUGCUAGACAAAGGAUACACAACUGCAGAUCAUGUUAAGAAGAUAGUCAGAAGUCUGCCAAAGAAAUGGAGACCUAUGGUUACUGCUCUGAAGCUGUCAAAGGAUCUGAACAAUAUCAGCCUUGAAGAACUUGUUAGUUCUCUCAGAAGCCAUGAGAUAGAACUAGAGGAGGAUGAGCCUCAGAAAAGGAACAAGUCCGUAGCGCUAAAGUCCAGAUCUGAAAGACGGAAACCUGACAGAACCAAAGCUCUCCAGGCAGAAACUGAAGAUACUGACGACUCUGAACCAGAAGACUCUGAUGAUGAAGAAGAGUUGUCCCUACUAACCAGAAGAGUUAAGCAACUCUGGAAAAAGAGGAACAACAACUUCAGAAGACCAAGACCCAGAGGGGAUCGAUCAGAGUCAACUUCAAAAGGUAAAGCUAACAAAGAUAUUACCUGUUAUGAAUGUAAAGAAACAGGUCAUUACAGAAAUGAAUGCCCCAAGCUGAAGAAAGACAACCCUAGAAAAGAAAGCUUCAAGAAAAACACCUUCAGAACAAAGAAAGGACUGAUGGCUACCUGGGAUGAUAGUGAAUCUGGAUCAUCAGAAUCUGACUCUGAUGAACAGGCCAACGUAGCACUUAUGGCUACCACAUCCAGCAGCUCAGACGAAGAAUCUGAAGAGGUAUUUUCUGAACUUUCUCGAUCUGACUUAGAAUCAUGUUUGUCAGAAACUCUUACCUCUUAUCAGAAAUUAAAACAAAAGUUUAAAAACAUUAAAGGCUGUCUUAAAACAAAAUUUGAAGAAUGUAAUGAACUUGAGAUAACAAUUCUAGCACAUGAAGAUACAAUCAGAUCUUUAACGUUAGAAAGAGAUGGAGCAAAAACAAAAAGCUCAGAAUUAGAAGAAGCGUUGUCUCAAGCACCACAAACUUCAAAUAAAAUUAUUUAUAAAUAUGAAGAAGCCUUUCAAGAAUUUCUGAAGAAUGGGAUAGAUAGGAGUAUUAUGGCAUCCAUGAUUUAUGGAGUAAGUCAGAACAAUAAAAGGGGAAUUGGGUAUGAUCCUAAGGAAGAUAAAACUUCUACAAGUGAUCAAAUUAAAUCUCCUUUUUCAUAUCACUACACACACACACAAGAACACAAAUUUAAAAAUGCUAGAAGACCCAAAGUUAUAAGAAACUCUGGGAAAACUAAUCUAAAAGGACCCAAGAGAUUCUGGGUACCGAAAGAUAAGAUUAUCUAUGUUGCAGAUAUCCUAUGCAGCAAAGUUCAGACACCAGUCAUGGUACCUGGACUCUGGAUGCUCGCGACACAUGACGGGAAGAAAGUCUAUGUUCCAAAGUCUGGAACUUAAAGACGCUGGAUUUGUAGGCUUCGGAGGAGAUCAGAAAGGAAGGAUCAGAGGCUCCGGAACUAUUGGUAAUGGUACUCUUCCCUCUAUAUCUGAUGUUCUUUAUGUAGAAGGAUUAAUGCAUAACUUGUUAUCCAUAAGUCAAUUAAGUGAUAACGGUUAUGAUGUAAUCUUCAAUCAAAAAACAUGUAAAGCCAUUAAUCAGAACGAUGGCUCUGUCCUUUUCACAGGCAAGAGGAAAAACAACAUUUACAAAAUAAAUCUUUCUGAUUUAAAAGAUCAAAAUGUUAAAUGUCUAAUGUCAGUUCACGAAGAGCAAUGGGUAUGGCAUAGACGCUUGGGCCACAUUAGCAUGAGGAAACUUUCUCAGCUAACUAAACUCGAGUUAGUCAGAGGCCUACCUAAACUGAAGUUUUCUUCAGAUGCUCUGUGUGAAGCUUGUCAGAAAGGAAAAUUUUCAAAAACAUCUUUUAAAAAGAAAAAUGUUGUUUCUACCUCUAAGCCUCUGGAACUUCUUCACAUUGACUUAUUUGGUCCUGUGAAAACAGCAUCAGUUAAUGGAAAGAAGUAUGGACUAGUCAUUGUUGAUGAUUACAGUCGCUGGACAUGGGUAAAAUUCCUAAAGCACAAGAGUGAGUCUCACUCUGUAUUCACCAGUUUCUGUUCCAAAGUGCAAAAAGAAUUUGACUCUAAAAUUAUUAGAGUCAGAAGUGAUCAUGGUGGAGAAUUUGAAAACAAAGAUUUUGAAGAAUUAUUUGAUUCUAAUGGAAUAUCCCAUGAUUUCUCCUGCCCUAGAACUCCACAACAAAAUGGAGUUGUAGAGAGGAAGAAUAGGACACUCCAAGAGAUGGCCAGAACCAUGAUCAAUGAAACUAAUGUAGCAAAGCACUUUUGGGCAGAAGCUGUAAAUACAGCGUGUUACAUUCAGAAUAGAAUCUCUAUAAGACCUAUUCUGGAAAAGACUCCCUAUGAACUGUGUAAAGGAAGAAAACCAAACAUUUCAUAUUUUCAUCCUUUUGGAUGUUCUUGCUUUAUAUUAAAUACUAAAGAACAUCUGAACAAGUUUGAUUCCAAAGCACAGAAAGGUAUUAUGUUAGGAUACUCAGAACGCUCUAAAGGCUACAGAGUAUACAACACAGAAACCAAAAUUGUGGAAGAAUCAAUUCAUGUCAGAUUUGAUGAUAAGCUUGACCCUGAAAAGUCAAAGCUAGUUGAAAAGUUUGCAGAUUUGGAAAUCACUCUUGUAGAAUCUGAUAAAACUCCAGAAGCAACUGUCACUCAGAACUCUGAAGAAAUUAAAUCUCCAGAAAUCCCAAAGAAAGUCAAAAGUCGUAUCAAUGUAUCUGAAGAUUUGAUUCUGGGAAACAAGGACGAACCUGUCAGAACCAGAUCUACCUUCAGAACUUCUGAAGAUAUUCCUCUGGGACUAGUGUCUCUGAUUGAGCCUACGUCUUGUGAUGAAGCACUUCAGGAUAACGACUGGGUGGCAGCUAUGCAAGAAGAAUUGGAUCAAUUCUCAAAGAAUGAUGUCUGGGAUCUCGUUCCUAAACCCAGAGGCACUCACGUCAUUGGAACCAGAUGGGUUUUCAGAAACAAGCUGAACGAGAAAGGAGAAGUUGUCAGAAACAAAGCUCGACUGGUAGCUCAAGGUUACAGUCAACAAGAAGGUAUUGACUAUAAUGAAACCUUUGCUCCAGUCGCGAGGUUAGAAUCUAUUCGUCUUCUUGUAUCUUUUGCUAUUAAUCAUUCUAUUAAAUUAUAUCAAAUGGAUGUCAAGAGUGCAUUCCUUAAUGGUUAUAUAUCAGAAGAAGUGUAUGUCAACCAACCUCCAGGUUUUGAAAAUUCAAAUUUUCCAGAACAUGUUUUUAAACUUAAGAAAUCCUUAUAUGGACUUAAACAAGCUCCCAGAGCUUGGUAUGAACGAUUAAGCAAUUUUCUUCUGGAACAAAAUUUUAUCAGAGGGAAAGUUGAUUCUACACUCUUCUGUAAAAACCUUAAUAAUGAUCUCAUGAUAUGCCAGAUUUAUGUUGAUGAUAUUAUUUUUGGUUCUGCUAAUAUCUCUGUUUGCCAAGAAUUUUCUAAGUUAAUGCAGGCAGAAUUUGAAAUGAGUUUAAUGCAAGAACUAAAGUUCUUUCUGGGAAUUCAAAUUAAUCAAACUCCAGAAGUCACGUACGUCCAUCAAAGUAAAUACAUUAAAGACGUUCUGAAGAAGUUUGACAUGACUGAAUGCAACUCUGCAAAAACUCCCAUGCACCCAACUUGCAUUCUGGAAAAGGAAGAGGUAAGCAACAAGGUUUGUCAGAAGCUCUAUCGAGGUAUGAUAGGCUCUCUUCUCUAUCUGACUGCUACUCGUCCUGAUAUUCUCUUUAGUGUCUGUCUUUGUGCCAGAUUCCAAUCAGAUCCUAGAGAAUCUCAUUUAACAGCAGUUAAGAGAAUUCUUAAGUAUCUGAAAGGAACUCCUAACCUGGGCCUGAUGUAUGAGAAAACAUCAGAGUAUAGACUUUCUGGUUAUUGUGAUGCAGAUUAUGCAGGAGAUAGAAUAGAACGAAAAAGCACAUCUGGAAAUUGCCAGCUUCUGGGAAACAAUCUAAUCUCCUGGGCUAGCAAAAGACAGUCAACUAUUGCUCUAUCAACUGCAGAAGCAGAAUACAUCUCAGCAUCACUGUGCACAACUCAGAUGCUCUGGAUGAAGCAUCAGCUAGAAGAUCUACAAAUCUUUGAGAGUAACAUUCCUAUCUUUUGUGAUAAUACUGCUGCUAUUUGUUUAAGUAAGAAUCCCAUUCUACAUUCCAGAGCCAAACACAUUGAAAUAAAACAUCAUUUUAUCAGAGACUAUGUUCAGAAAGGGAUAGUAACAUUGAAGUUCAUUGAUACAGAACAUCAAUGGGCAGAUAUCUUUACUAAGCCUCUAGCUGAAGAUAGAUUUCUUUUUAUCUUAGAACAUCUGAACAUUAAAAAUUGUCCUGAAUGAAGUAUGGCUCUGAAAAUGUAAAAUGUGACUCUGAUGUAAACAAAUGUACUUCUGCCUCUGACUCUGAUACUUCUACCAAGUUAAGAAGAUAUCUGAGUUAGAAAUCUCCAGGAACCAAUCCUUUGGUAUUCCUGAAGAUCAGAUACAUCAACACGUGGAGCACUUAGCGUCCAACCCUAGAACUUCUAGACAGCUGUCCAGAAGAAAAUCAAAGGGAAACGUUUGAGAUCUCCUCGAGCAGUGUGCAUACUGUUGGGAUUAGACAUUCAUUAAUUAGCCUUAAUCAUUUCUCCCCCAAGCGUGCUUACUUGAGCUUUGUGCUAACGCAAUAUUGUGUGUCGUUUUGCAUGUGUUUUAACUUAGGGUAUUUAAACACUUUUCUCACUUUUCACACACUUUUCACUCUCACUCACUCUCAAACCCUCUCUAAAACCCUAAACCUCUCUGAAGCAUUCUCUGCAAACUCUCAAUCUUCAUCUUCUUCUUCACCAUGGACGCUCAACAACAAGAAGUGUUUAACUUUUCUCAACAAAUGGAAUCAAGCUCAACUGCUCAAACCUCAAGCAUUCCAACUCCAACGGUUACAGGCGUCACCAUCACCCCUGUUUACAAAGAACCUCACGUUCUUGACCGUGAACGCCAUAUCAACCUUUCAACCCCUUUUGAAGGUUUGGACGUGUUGUGUGAAUCGCUAGUUGAUUUCGACAACCUAAGAAGAAAUGGCGUUGAUCUAACUGGAGAACUUCGUCAACAAGGGUGGGAAAACUAUUUCCAAAGACUUUAUGGUCCCAUUUACCCACUUCUCGUCAAGGAGUUCUGGAGACAUGCAGAUGCAGAUGACAACUUCAUCGUCUCAUAUGUUCUGGGGGUGAAGAUUGUUAUUACUGAAGGGUCUAUUGCCUCCUUGUUGAACAUGGAGCGAAGUGGAGGAAAAAGGAUUUACAACAUUCCUCCUAGGUCAAAGCGCAUUACAGAUGUUAUCAACCCAACAAUCUUCAAACCCAACGUUGAAGGAAACCCUUCUAAAAACAAAGAGCUACACCAGAACCUCAGAGUGUGGCUGAAGAUUAUUCUGGGAACCAUUCACCACCGUCCAGCCUCUAACUCUUCUGACUACAUCAAUGCAGACCAGAAAUGCAUUCUGUACUGCAUUCAGAAGGGUGUGAAGAUCUCCCUCCCUGCUCUCCUUUUCAGAUAUCUGAGAGAUUCGGUCAGAGAAACCAGAAACAACAUGAAGCCCAGAUCCUACAUUCCUCUGGGAAGAUUGCUAUCUGAUGUCUUCAUUGAGCAUGGACUGGUAGACCAUCUGGAAAAGACAAAACUGAUGGAUGAUCUGGCAAUAGAUGUGGGGAAGCCUCUGAAUGCCAGAAACCUCAAGAGUAUGGGGAUAAUCAAGAAAAUUCAAGUCAGGCCAACUCUGGAUACAUCCUGGGAUAGUUUGAAAGAUCAGAGGAAGAUGCCUCAUGGCCUUGCCAGAUUCUUCAAGAAUGAACCCAGAGACGCUGUUGCUAUCUAUCUUCAUCGUCUGCUGGAAGAAGGUGUUGACGUCUCUGAUUUCAGCCUCGACGACUGUCUGGACUCUGAAGAAGACUUCGUCAGAUACAAGAGAGGUCUUUCUGAAAAGAAGGUAGCAUCUCAGGCAAAGAAGGCCAGACUCGGAGAAACUUCUGGAAGCAAAUCUUCAGCUCCUCUGAAUAUCUCUACUGGUAAGUCUGUUCCUCCUGUUACCUCUAAUCCUCUGAUGGCUUCUUCUAACCCUCUCUCUUCACAACCUAUUUAUACCACCUCUGAUAUUUCACCCUCAAUCACCAGAACCUCCCAACCUACACCAGUUCUAAAUAUAGCCCGUACAUUCAUACCUCCCUCUGAACCUAAACAAACCCACCAAAGCACUUCAUCUUCAUCAUCCUCAGCACCAGAAUCACCCCCAUAUGUUUCCCUCUCAUCUGACCCAGAAUUUUCUGACCCUGAUUCCCCAACCAUAGCCACAAUUUAUGCUCAUAGACUUGCUUCACAACAAACACAAACACAAUCUGAAGCAACUUCACCUCCACCACAACAAACAACCACCAUACCUUCUGAAGACCAACCCUCUGACCAUCCCACUUCUGAUAUCAACCCACCAAACACCUCUGCUGCACCUGAAUCUGAAACUGAAACUGAACCUUUAGAUUUAAAUCCUCUUUACGCUUCACCCCAAACAUCUGAACCUCAACCUGAAUCAGAAACUGAACCAGAACCUCUAACUCUAAAUCUCAGCCCUCCAACAUCUCCACCUCAUACCUCUGAACCUGACCUUUCUGUACCUACCCUUGAGGAAGCCAUCAUGCUGGUCGCAGGGGCUUCAGUACAAAAGGUCAAGUCUCUGACCACUAACUCUGAAGUCAGUGAUGAUCCUGACUCUGUAAGGACACACUGGAACAGAGUCAUUGGCUGGAUGACCUCUGAGUCUUUUAGGCUGAAGAGUAUCUCUGAACAAGUCAGAAAUGGCUACAUCAGAGAUGCUGAGGCAAGACUCCAAGAGAGAUUAGCCAGAGAAGCUGAAGCUAGAAGGCUAGAGGAAGAGAGAUUGGCAAAGGAAGCUGAAGAAGAAGCAAGAAGACUGGAAGAAGAAGAAAAAGCUCGUCAAGCUGAAAUCCUAAGGGAAAAGGAAGCUGAAGCUAAGGCUCUGGCGGAUGCAGAAGCCCAAGCUGCUGCUGAAGCUGAAGCUCAGCAGGCUCUGACUCUGGGGGAGUCCUCUUCUGUGAUCCCUAUGGUUCUUCAGACUCUGAAAGAACUUAAGCAAGAUCAGAAUGAACUCCGGGCCAGAAUGGACAAGCAAGAUACUGUCAACGACAACAUCCAGAACAUGCUUGCUAUGCUGCUUCAGAGAAUGCCUCCGCCUCCGAACCCUUAGGCACUUAGGAUUUAUUUUGCUUGCCUGUUGUUUUAUUUUCUCUGAAUCUGAUGUUUUCUAGUUCUUGUUGCCUUUGUGCUUUUAUCUGAAUACAAGUUUUUCUCUUAAUUUUUUUUUUUUUUGCUAUGUCUUUUUGAUUCUGACAAAAAGGGGGAGAAGUCAUUAAUAGCUCUGAUGAAAAUAUUGUCUAAAUACCUUAAGCAUUCUGCAACAUAUUUUUCUUAAAAAUAAAUUUAUCUAACCUGGACUUAAGAAAUUGCAGAAGGUAUCAAGAAACCUCUUUACUUAGAAGCUCUGGUAAGAACUUCUGAACUCCCUAGCACUAUCUCAGGGGGAGCUUCUGUCUAUCUGAUCUGAUAUUAUUCAUGUUUCAUCUGCUAAUUAAGGUUGUUUUGUCAUCAUCAAAAAGGGGGAGUUUGUAAGAACAAAAAUUGUUCUACAACAGAUUCCUUGAUUUUGAUGAUAACAAAGGAUGAAACCAAAAAUGGCACCCUAACGAAAAGUUUCUAAGUGUGCAGGAUUCUAAAGAAAGAAGGAAGAAAUCUGAUGAUGUCAUCAGAUACAAAACAAGAUCAGAUACAAAAUAUCAAAUGAUCAGAAGCAUCUGAAGUGGAAACACGUUCAAGAAAGUCUAACUCUGAGCAAAACAGCAAAGUAUCAGAAGCAUCUGAACAAGAAGUAAGCUCUAGAAGUUCUGACUCUGAACAACGCUAUCUCUAAGCUCCAGAAGUUAUCAGCGCUAUCUGAAGAAACUAUCUGAACUCAAGAGAUUAACAUCAGAAGCAAGAUUCCAAGAUUCUCCAGAAACACAAAUACUCUGAGCAUGGAAUUGCUAAUCAUGAAAGAGUAACGUUUAAGUCAAGAAAAGAUUUGCAAAUGGAUUUCCUAAUUGAGAAAGAGACGUUAAUCUCCAAUCUCAAUAAAGAAAAUACUACUUGUGGUAAGUAGUCAUUUCAAGAAGAAAAAGUCAUCCUGCAGAAGCUAUUUAUGUGAUGGCGUAACUUCAUCUCAAUAUCCACCAGUUUCAACUACUACCUCACUGAUCUAUAUAAAGGAUUGAGAAUCAACUUUCAAAAAAAUAUACUAGCUAACAAGUCAGUAAGCCAACAAGCCAAAAUUAUACUGAAACACCAAGUCAAGAAAAACAUUCUUUCUCUCUAAGAUAUUCACGAAGCUUUUGCUUAUAACGUGAAAAACUCUUGUUCUUAACACUGUAAUAUUUGCUUUCUUAGAAGCACUCUAGAUUACAUAAAUCUUUCAUUUAUUGUUUGUUGAUUUCCUCAAGUGACUCUGUGUAGUCUGUAUACUUGAGAGGGCUAAGAGAUUUUUAUCUUAGACGUUGUUUGUAAUCUUUCAAGAUUAGUGGAUUAAGUCCUUGUUGAAGGCGAAAUCACCUUGGCCGGGGGGACUGGAGUAGCUUUGUGUUAUAAGCGAACCAGUAUAAAAUCCUUGUGUGAUUUUCUUUUUGAAAAGCGCUUAUUUUUCCAAACAAUUCAAACCCCCCCUUUCUUGUUUUUCUCACCUUCAAAACUUACCAACUAAAAGGGAAUGCAUGCAGAAAGAUUGAAUUAUUUACAAAAUAAAAAGAUUUUUUUUUAUUAUUGCGCUCGCUUAGGUUUUGCAACCCAAUGCCUAUGCAUCAAUAAAGAAUCAUACCACCGUAGUUCUUCUCAAAAAAUUUGGUUUGUUGGUGCUUUUUAUGGGUAACCACCCUUAUUGAAAAUUUUCAUAAGAAAAGCCAAGCGGCAAAAUAAGUUUAAUUAGUUGAGUAUUUUAUUGAGAGAAUACAUCAAAUGAUCCACCCAAGGCAAAGAGAUCCUAUGGGGAACAUGUUAUCCACAAAUGGAAAAGAGAUAUAAGAAGAUGACAAUCCAUAUCAAGUCAUGGAACAAACAAACAAAAAAACACAAUACCAUAUCAAAUCAUGGAAGAACAGAUAAACAAUACCAUAUCAAGUCAUGAAGAAAAAUAAAAGACAAACAAUUCCAUAUCAAGUCAAGGAAUAGACAAAGUAAUAACAAUCCGUAUCCAUUCAUGGAGAAAAUAAAUAGCACAAAAACAGAUAAACAAUCCAUAUCAAGUCAUGGAAGAAAGAUUGAGAGAAAUCAUAUUAAGUCAUGGAAGAGAAAGUAAAAUAGUGGCAAUCCAUAUCAAGUCAUGGAGAAAAAUAAAAGACAAUAACAGAUAAAUAAUCCAUAUCAAGUCAUGGAAGAAAGAAACAUAGAAAUGUUAUUCAAUUAACAAAAGUCUCAAUAUCAAGAAUGAGUUCACAUUGGUAUUGAAUCCAUGGUAUAAGCACCCAAGUACACAAACAUCAUGCAAAGUUGUAAAGUGAAGUUAACACAAGUAUGUGAACAAUUAGAAAUGGAAAAAUACAUAGUAUGUGAAUGAUAUCAAAAGAAAAUAAAUAGGGUCAAUUCAUAUAAGAAAAACUCAAGACAUCUCAGAGGCACACUCAAAGAUUGAGGCGACUAAAUGAUCAAAAUCAAACCCUAGUCAUGCUCUUAAUGGCUAACGAAUUUCAAGCAAGUAUAUAUGAAGUAAUAUUAUGAGAAAAUGGUACCAAACCACACAAUUCAGAAGUAUAGGAUAUUCAAACUUCACAUAAAAAUCACUCAAACAUUAAGAAUGAACCAAACAAACUAUGCUCCAAGAUAGGUAAACAAUCACACAAGCUCAAAAAGCUCAGACAAGAAGUAAACAAACUAUGAAGCAAACACAUGACAUCAAGAGAUGUAUGACUUGUGCAAUAAGUUAACUCAAGAUGAGGUUCAGGAAUAACAAGGGAAGUCAUUCAAACUUCACACACAUAUUAAAGUCAAGUAACUUGGAAAAUAAUAAAGAUAUCAUCCUAGAAAAAGAAAUCAUUUAUCAAAAUGAAAUAGGAUAAGUAAGGGUAAAGAGAGGGAUGCUUAGGUGAUGGGACAUUAAAAAAGAUCUUCAAAGAAACAAAUACAACCGUCAAAUUCAAGAGGUAUAAACAAGCAAACAACCUCAAAGUUUAUGCAUAACUAGUAAGUCAAAAGGUGGGCAUCAUCCAAGUAAGGAGUCCUUUGUCCAACCAAAGUAAAUGGGAAAUACAAAAUGAAAUGGAUACAUGAAUAAAUGAAGUGAGAACAACAUAAAACCAUACAAAAAAUGGAUCCCAAUCUCCUAAGAGCUUCACCAUCUACUAAACUCAAAAUUAGGUCAAGAAAAGAAGAAUGUAGCUCUUAAUAUGUCAUCAUGAUGAAGUGGUAAUGGAAUACCAUUCAAAGAAUCAUAAGAGCAAGGUAAAAAUAUACCAAGACCAAGGAAGUUAGAAUCAAAAGAAAUGAGGAGUAAAAAACAAUUGGACCGAUAAUACUCAAGUUGGAAUGCACAAGACACCAUCUAAACUAUGAUCUCAAAGGCAAGCAAAUAGGAUUCAAGAUAAUCAAGCAAAUAUGCAUCAAUUGGAGACACCUGAAAUGGUCCAAAUGAAUGAAUUUAGGACUCAUAAUGAUGAUGAAGUAGUUAAUCAAGGAGGGGAAAUAUAUCCCACAUGGUUGCACAAGUGCAUACCAAAAUAAAUCAUCUAGGUGCAAAAUGUAUCACCAGAAAACAAGCAUGCUUGAAUAAUUAAAUAAAAAUAUUUAGAAGCAUGGAAAAAUUAUGAAAAAUUAAACAUGGAAAGAUAAAGUCAUAAACUCAAUGUGUUCCAAAGAUGUAUUUAAAAUCAUGUGCAAAUGAUGUUCAAGAAAAUCAAUCAUUCAAACAAUGCACCAUUAAUUGGUCAUCCCAAGUAAUCUUCAAAAAUAAGUUCAGAAACAAUCCAAAAUUAAUAAUCCAAACAUCAAAUGAAAACCCAAAUGACCUAUAUUCAUAUGUCUAUAUGUGUACAAAAGAUUGGAUCAAAAUUCAAAUGGGAAGAUCCAAAAUCGAACCCUAACAAAUAAAACGAGGUUAAAUAAACAUAAUUAAAUAUAAAAGUCAAAACAUAUAUUAAAAUAAAUCAAAAAUAAAAACAUGGAAAUAUGGAAAAUUAAAUAAUACUAAAAAUAUCAUUCAUGAAUUAUUUGGGAAUUUUUAGACCAAGGGAGGUAAUUUAAAUAAAAUCAAAAGAAACAAUAAUCAAAUAAUAAAAGAAAAUGGAAUGGGGGUGCAUAUAAGAAAAUGGACCAAAGGCAAUCUGUUAACAUGAACAUGGCCCAAAAUAAAGGGGUGGGGAAAGCAACGUUGCACGCAGCCCCGUCCAAUAAUAAAUCAGAAAAAUAAAAAGGAAAAUGAAAUGGAGGGUGUCAUGCUUCAUGUGGAACCUUCCCUUAAUCGGUCACCCAACUCACUUAAAUGCUGGAAGACAAAACCAAACCAUGGCCAAUCAAAACACGCCAUGCACUCAUCUUCAACCUUGUCCAUGCACCACAACGAGUUUACAAACCCUAAAACCCGAUUUCAACAUGCCACCUUCUUUCUCACACAACUUCCUCAUCUCUCAACCAAAUCACACGAAGUUUGAAUAAAAAAUAUAGUACACAAAUGGUAGAACAUCAUGGCAUACUUAGUUUUUAAAAAUGGACAAAGGAGCAUGGAGAUGAAUGAGCAUGAACAUACAGGUUCAAACAAAAUCAAACAUCAUUCAAACAAAGUUAUACAAGGACAAAGGAGCAUGGAGAUGAAUGAGCAUGAACAUACAGGUUCAAACAAAAUCAAACAUCAUUCAAACAAAGUUAUACAUGAAAUUAUGAGUCUAGCUCCAUGAUCCAUUCCAAGAGUGGAUCUUCUAGAUGCAGAUGAAUGAGCUUAAGCAUGGUGAAUGGCUAGCAUGAAGAAGCAUAAAGUGAGGGAGACUUACCUAGUGGAGAAUGCCCACUGCACCUUGGAUUCUUGGAGAAAGAAGAUGAACAAGACCAGUAGGAAGAUGAUGAGCAGUGGUGAGCCAGGUAAAAGCUCAAAUGUAGCUUCAAUAAUGGAGAAAAAGUAGAGAAAAUGAAAAGGGUUCAGAUUUCCUAUACUUAUGUUCAGCCUCCAACCAACGUCCUCCUCUAGGUUUAGAGAGUAAAAAACCUUUUAUAUGAGCCCCAAGUGAGGGCAGAAGAGUCAACACACUUGGCCAAAGUUGAUAUCCCAAUUUUAGACAAAAUUAGAAUGAGAGUGAGGUGUGCAUUUUGCGUUUUAGAUGUGUUUUAGGUGUGCGGUGUGUCGUUUCAGGUUGUUGGAAUGGAGUGGAGAUAACCCAGAACUCUUGGGGACUUGGAGAGAGUGGAAAGAGAAGGAAAGGCAAAUUGGAAUAUAUCUAUAUUUGGCCCAAUUGAGGUAGCAUGUACAAGCAUGCAAAAGGUGUGUUGCUUGGUCAUAAAAAGCAUGGAAAGAAGGGUGGCAUGCGUGUGGGAAAGUUAUGCUACAAGUAAGAGCCAAAACAAUACCUAAACUCAAUGACAUUCAUAAUGUUGGGAAUUAAGGAUCAUUGAUGUUCAAGCCAACAUAACUUUAUGGUUCCUUGGCCAAAUGAGGGAAACUAGGGCUUUUUGGAAAGAAGGAAGGGAGAUGAACAAGUUUUAUGUUGGAAGAAAAAUGAAACAAAGCCUUGAAAUCCCUUAAAAAUGGCCACGAAAACAUUUGCUUGAAACUGCAUGCAUUCAUGCAAAUUAUAGGUCAAUUGGAAAUUGUGAGAUCCUAACUUGACAGCUUAAUAACUUGCUCAUCAAGCCACUAAAUGAAAAACUUUUUGAAGCAAAAAUAGAGGGGGGAAAUAGAGGGGGGAAUAUGAUCUAUAACUUUCAUGUUGAAGUCAAUUUAAAAUGAAACUUGCAUCUAGGUGGAAAAUGGCCAUCAAGAUGGUUGCUUGAAAUUGACCAAACACUUAGCAAAAUUUCACUAUCUUGUUGCAAGAACGCCAUGUUCUCCAAACCUUCAACUCAACUAAUUUCGAACGCAAGUCGCUUGAACCCUAAGCUUUCUUCACAAUCCUUCGAUUACCAUUACUUGUUUGACCGAACCUUCCGUUCUUCAAACUUUUCACUCAGCUGAAUCUGUGAAGCAAAGGUUAGUGUAAAAACCCUCAAUUCUUGAAGGAUAAAACCUCAAUGGUUUUAUUCAAGAAAAACCUACACAAAGUCUCAACCCAAACUAAGAUAAUCCAAUCUUAUUUGGACGUUAUCACAACAGUAAUGCACAAUGCUCAACAAAGAUUAUUAUGUGUGAUUAUUGAGAAAUGCAAUGCAAAAUGAAGAUGUUCUUGUGAAACCACAUAUAGAAAGUGAAAUCUUGUUAUUUUGUCGAAGAAGAGACACUUGAAUAUUUAUAUGAUGCAUGGACCAAAUAAAAACCAUAACAGAAAUAUUUUGCAAAGUUACACAUCAUAAAAUUAAGUAAAACAGGCGAUGAGUCGACUCAAACAGAGUUUUUCAAGGGUUGAGUCGACCUAUAACUCGACCUAUUCAGACCCGUGAUUACAUGGUUCAAAAUAAAAUAGGCAUUGAAUGGACGCAACAUGUGGAUGAGUCGACUCAUUCAAUUUUCCCAGGAUUGAGUCGACCUGUGACUCGACCUGUUCAGACCCGAGAGUUACGCUCUGAGUCAUUGAGUCGGCCUGUGACUCAACCUGUUCAGACCCGAGAAUUAUGCUCCGAAUCAUGAGUCGACUCAUAGUUCUUAAACUCCCAAAAAUGAGUUUUGAGAUGUGUUUUGACCAAAUUAAACCAAUCUCUUAUGAACCUAGGAUAUUAACGAUUAUCAAGUGCAUGAUUCACCUCUAUGAUAUGCUCCCAUAUGCCUGGACAUGCUGAACUUAUAUUUUGAACAUGUUAGAGGAUGGAUGCAUUCUAUAAUAUGAUGAUAUUGUCCAAGGUACAUGUUAUGGGCGAUUAGAAAGGUUUGACAUCAUUAAAAUAAGGACUAGGCAUAUUUGCCCUACUAUAAUAUGAUGAUAUUGUCCAAGGUACAUGUUAUGGGCGAUUAGAAAGGUUUGACAUCAUUAAAAUAAGGACUAGGCAUAUUUGCCCUCACAAAUUUUUGAUGAGAAACCAGCAGCCUGACACGGUCUCCCGUGUCAGCUGACACGUGCCAUGUCAAGACCAUGACAAAAGCCUUCAAAUUGAGAAUUGCAGGCGCUUGAAACGGCCGACCGUGGUGCUUUAUACAACCCGUGUCAGGAGCACUGAAGAAAAGGGUGAAAAUUAACAUUGGCAGAAGCCUGACACGGCCCGUGUCAGGACCACUGAAAACCACGCCCCGAAGAUGUUAAGUUACAUCAUCCUGACACGGCCGCCCAUGUCAGGCCUAUGGAUUUGAAAAUUUGAAAAUUUAUUGUAUAUUGUAUGGGCCCCACCCCUUAUUAAAACCCAAUAACCACUCAUUACACCCACUUAACACUUCCCAAAAAUAUGAUUUCAUUCAUUCUCCACUCAUUAUCUCUCACAAACUUCAUCUUCUCCACCAUCUCUCUCUCCAAAAACGUAAUCUUCCAUUAACCCCUCCCCCCCACACACACACACACAAAAAAAAAGCUUCCACCUUUACCACCAUAACAACCCCAAGUCACAAACUCCCUUCAUGAAUCCUUCUUCAUUUUUCGCCCUAAUCACACCCACAAUGUCUGUUUUCUCUAAUUCCAAUUUCGAAUUUAUCUUAAUUUUUGCAGAUACGAAAAUUCCCCUAUGGAGGAUUGUUCAAGGGUAGCAAAAAAUGGCCGAGAUCUCGUGGCCACAAAAGAGGAGCAGCCGUAAUCUGAACCCGCACAAUAUUGUCUUCGACAAUCCAGAGCAGGAGCAACAAUACUCCAUUCAUAGAAAGUGUAAGUUAACCCCACCAGGUACAUAUGCAAACAAACCCUUCAUGAUUUAGGCUUAAAGAGUGAAAUUUAUAGGAUAUUCCAUGUGUUAGGUAUGUUAGAAUUCAUGAGUCUCGAAGCGCCUACUUAUGAGCGCAUCACACUUGAAUUUUUUAGCACACUUGAAUUCCAUCUAGAGAAGCAGUGGAUUAACAUGACGAGGUACUGCUAUGGUACUCUUCGAUUUCGUCUUUUUAAUAAUUAUCAUGAGCUAUUUGUUGAGGAGUUGGCUGAUAUUCUCCGACUCCCACUGUACGGACCUGGUGCGGUCCCUAAAGGGUUGAUCCACAAGAUUUCUGGACUGCAAUUACUGGGAGGACUAAUUACACCUCCAAAGGUGCAAAAGCCUCUGGCAUCCAGAACCUGUGCUUCCUCUAUCCCCAAAAAGGUCUGGCGUAUACUAUGUUUGGACGGGGUGAUAGUACGGACGUGGCAACUCAACGGGAGUUGUUCUUCCUAUACUCAAUGGCACAUAAUUAGGCCAUCAAUGUUGCUGCCUUUGCAUCUAAUUACUUGGGGAGAGUUGGUCGGGCAGACACAGGUGGUAAUUUUGUUGGGGGUAUGAUUACCCAGAUUGCUAAACAUUUUGGUUAUCGUACGGUUUUGCUUAAAGAGACUACGGUGGCAGGUAAGACAACUUUUGAUAUGGCAACUCUCAUCCAAUAAGGUAUGAUUUCUAUUACACAUGAUUACUACUCUAUUAUGAUCCAUAAAAGGUUUAUCAUUUCACUACCUAAUCCUAACAGAGUAAGUGUUGCUGAUUGUGCUAAUUGGUUGUAUGUGAGUGCUGAUCCUGAUGCAGAGGAAGGCUACGAUGCUGAAAAUAUGGUUGCAGGUGAACAAAUGAAUGAAGACGAGCAGCAUCAGAAGCCGUUUAUACCCCCUGACCCAAGAGCCAACCAAGAAGGGAGCUGGGUCAUCAUCCAUGAAUUACGACCAGUGGGCACGGGUAAAAACCGAGCUCGGUGACCUUAAAACUAAGCAAUCAAGACAAGGCAUCGAGGAGGCCCAGUAAGGGGAAGUUUUGGAUGAGAUGAACCUGAUGAUCCGACAGUUGAUGUUGCACUUUCCGCACCAGCCUCCUCAGUAGGGCACUGUGAGUCACACUUCUUCUAUCUUGUUCUAAAACAUUAAGGUCAAUGUUUAGUUCAAGUAUGAGAGAGGUUUAAUUAUGCUUUUUGUUUUUAUGUUUUUUUUUAUUUCACAUUUUGUGUACUGUUUUACAUUUGGUUUGUCCGUUACUGUUGGGUAUCAUUUGUUGCAUGUAUUUCAGGUUCUUGUUGUUAUUGUUGGAUUAGAUGAUGACCAUUAGUGGUAGUGGAUGAAAUGAUCACUCCAUUUACUGUUGCUUGUUGUGAAUGAUCUUCCCAAAAAGUUGAUACUGCUAAAGGAAAGGAUUGGAUGCAACUGUCUCAAGCUCGACUAACAUAGGUUCCCUAUCAUUCUGAGCUAAGUAAGAAGACGCAUCAUACUAGAAGUACUGUGGAUUCUGUCAAACUUUACCUAACAUGGUGAGUGCAUAAAAAGCCAAACACAUUUGUCAUCAUGAACUAUAUUCAGGUAUGUCUUUAUCACACUGAGUUUGCGUAAUUUCUCUUGGAAUAUCACUGCAUAUAUAUACACACUGAGGCAUAUUGUUUAAGUAAUAUCCCUGAGCCUUUCUAGUGAUCCCUUUAAUAUUAUCCCUCGUUAACCCCGUUUGAGCCUGUACCCUUUGUUUGUAUAUAUAACCACAUGAAUGUAACUCGCGGCCCAAACACUUCCUUACCCUGUUCAGAGAAAAUGUUAUAUUCUUUAAGCUGUGUUAAAUUCUAAGUUUGGGGUAACCCCAUAAGUAUCUGAAAGUAAGGUGAGUCCGAAAAAAGAUUGAGAAAAACGAUCAUCGAAAAAAAAUGAAAAAAAAAGAAAAAAAAGAAAAAAAAAAGAAAUUCGAUGGAACAAGAAAAGCACUCACCGAAUGAGAAACACUCAGUUGGGUAUAAAUAAAUCAAAGAAAAAAAAGAGAACUGAGUAACAAACUAGAAAAAGAAAAGAAUGGGAAAUGAUAUGUUAGAACAAACACAGUGAAAAGAAUAAUGACAUUGACUCUGAACCCAAAAAAAUUUGUUUGUAUUUACCCCAUCGUAGCCCAAGCCCUGUUAUAACCCGAAAGACCUCAAAAAAUGUGUGUUGUGUGUAGUUGAUACGAAAGGAAAAGCUAUUCAAAUUUAGGAGUCAAUAUUGCAUAUUCUAAAAUGUGAGUGUAAACACUUUAACCCGGAGAAAAUUGGUGAGAGUGUGAUAUAAGCUGAAAGGUGAAGUAGUACGUCAAUAUGGAAGUGCGGCGAAAAACCAAUGAGGAAAAGCAGGGACUAUAAAAGGGAGCAUGAAGGUGUGUGGAGAAAGAUCUCAGCAGUAUUGUGGUAAGAAAAAUUCAGUUUUAGGAAGUGACACACUUUGUCGUUUAGAACAUUACAUGAGGACAAACAAUGAACUAAGUUUGAGGUUGUGAUCGGUCAUCAUUUCUACUGUAUUUUCAUUACUUAUUCGAUAAGAAACCAAGGAUUUUAGAAUACUUUAUUCGCAUUAUGUUACCUUUUAAGUUAGUUUUCAUUUCUGUAAGUUAAUUAAGUGUUUUAUCAAUUUUUAGUUUUAUUUUGUGUUUUCGGGAUUUUAUGUUUUGGUUGUCUGUUUUUAUUCCCUCCAGGUCCAAGUAGAAGAUCCAACGGACUCAAUGCAAGAAAGUCGAGAAUUCCAGUGUUCGAGGAAAGAAGUUAUGAAGUUUCAAGAAGCCUGACACGGCCACCAAUGUCACCUGACACGAGCCGUGUCAGGAUGGGGACCUAAUGAAGCUAAAGAGGAAGGCCUAGGCAGGGGCCUGACACGACCACUUGUGUCAGCCUACCUGGGAUGAAGCUGAAGAUGAGGACCAAGGAGGGGCCUGACACGGCCACCCAUGUCAGCCCAAGGGCAAAAUAUUCCAAUUUUUGGGCUUUUACCCGGACUAGAGCAACAAGGACGUUCUGGGGAUUUCCAACUAUUGCCAAGGGAUUUUACUAUUUUAGAAGAGUUUCUACGAGAGAUAAAGGACACUUUUUAGAGCAAGGAGAAAAUAGAGCACAGAGAAUUGUCAGACGAUCGAGAAUUAUAGAGAUCAAGGAAUUUGGAGAGCGGAAGAUUUUCAUGAGCUGAAGCAAUUGAAGAUCCAAGUCAUCCAAUUACUUGUAAUGUGUAAUUUUUAUCUUCAAUCUAUUUUUAACAAUAUGAGUAGCUAAACCCCCUAAUGCUAGGGGGUGUCCCUAAUUUAGAUCUGUAAUGACUUUGAGUUUGCGAUUGCAUUGAUAAUAUUGUUUUUCAUAAUUACGAUAAUCUUUUGAUGUGUUUAAUGGUUUCUCUUUCGAACCAAUUUAGAUUGUUGUAUGGUUAUCAAUUAUGCUUGACCGCCAUUGAUAAGUUUUUCAUAAAAUUACUCUGCAGUAGAUAUCACCUAGGACUAGGGAUACCUUGUAUGAACCAGAUGAGUCUUGAUAUAAUAAGGUUUAAUUUCACCGGUAAUUUCCUAUGGACAGAGAAAUUAGGGUUGGAUGAUUAAAGGUUUUCUCACCAAGACCUUGGGAGAAAAUACCCUUGAGAACUGGUAGUAGUUAAUUGAUAUUUGUUGAUGCAAUAGUGACUCAGAGUUGUUACAGGGACAAAUUAUACACCUUCCCUGGCAUGUUCCUUUUUCCUUGAAACCCUUAUUUUUACAGUGUUUAUUUUAUUUUCCAUUAUUUUUAUAAGUUUAAAUUAAAAAACCUCAACACUAGUUUUUGUUUAAUUGAACGAUGAUUUGAACUCGAUAUUAUCGCGCAGUCCUUGAGAUUGGAAUUCGAGGAAUUUCCCCUUUAUUACUACAAAAGGCAAAGUAGUACACUUGCUAUUUUUCCGAUCAAGAAUCAUUUGUGUUAUUUACUUUUAGCAGUGCAUUUUAACAUCCUUAUUAUUAUUUUUGUCUGAAGUUCUGAUAUUAGUGUUGUGAUAUUGCAUACAACAUCUGAUAUAUGAAUACUAGAAUUUCAAUUACUUUUGGAGCUAAUUCUUGUCUUAUGACCAUCUCCCCCAAAUUUAGACAAACAAUCUUACCAUAUUUUGUAUUGCCUUGAAUGUUGAUAAGUGUUCCAAUCAAACUAUCACACAUAUUUUUCUCCACAUGCAUCAUAUUAAGAUAAUCUCUUACAUUAAGGCUUGAUCAAUAAGGAAGAUCAAAGAACACUUACCUCUUUUUCCAUAUAUUUUCUCCACAAGCCCUUUUUGGUUAUUUCCAAAGACAACAUUAAUGUGAUUUUGUCAUUUAUAAACUUCCUCCUCAGUUAAGUUCUUUGUAGCAAUACCAAACUAUUAUUCAUCAUUAAAGGUCUUUUGCAAUCUACAAUAUGGAUGGUUGUGUCAUAGAAAACUUUGAUGCCAAAGGUAAAUAUUCUCUUUUCCAUUCUUUAUUUGGUGGAAGCAUAUAUUAGCUUCACAUAUAGGACAUUCUUUAUGUCCCUUAAUGUUGUACCCAACACUACUACAAAUAACACAUGUCCUAUUGGACGCGAAAUGGAAUUCACCUAAGUUACAAUGCCAAGGUAACAAAGGGUGACAUGAAAAGUGGGAACUUUACCCCUCGGUUUAAAAAUAAUCGAGGGGUUAUUUAAACAUUCUCUUUUCCAUUAUUUAAUCAGGAUACAACUCAUAAUCCUCACACAUGUGGAGGAACUUGUUCACGCGAUUUCAGUCCCCCUUUCUCACUUUAUAAAUAAAAACAUCCCUAAUCAUUUGAGAGGAAAGAAACAAUAACAUUGAAUCACUGUUAAAACCAUUCCCCACCUUACUCUGAGCUCAAGAAAAAAAAUCAAAACAUUAUCAUAGCCUCAUGUUAAAGCUCUGAUCAAGGCGAGCUUAGCUUAGCAAAAUACAAUAACACAACCUAUAAAGAAGCGCGAUGCACAAAAGAAGAAGAAGAGUACCAAGAGACAAAAAAUUUACCUGAAGACAGAUCAGAGUUGAAUUCUUUGCAAAUUGUGGGUAGUCCUCUUUCACCUUUACUUUUAUUAUGCAUUUCACUUUGCUUUGUUGCUUUGCCAUGAAUGUAGCUUGUAAAUUGCAUGAUUUAAUCGAUUGUUGUAGCCGAAUCUCUAAUGAAAAAGGGGUUUUGGGGUUAUUGGGAUGAGGAAUUAGGUUUGUGGUUUUUGAUAUUAUGUGUUUACUCCGUUUUACUCUGUUGUUGCAAUUGUUGUCAGCAUGAUUCAUGCUUCCGUUAUGCUUGUUUUUGUGGAGUUUAAUCUGUUAGAUGAGGGCGAUGUAUGUUGUGAAAUCAUGAUUAAGGUGUUGAUUUCAUUGAGAUGAAGUUUGUAGUGGCACUUUUAGGUUUAUUUUGGCAAAAAAAUUGUCUGGUUUAGGAAGAGUUUGAGAACACUUGAAAGAGAUGAGGCGGGGGAAUUAGGUUUUGAAAAUGGAAGGGGAAACCGGAUUCUGGGGUUUUAUGACAAGGGUUUGGCCCAACCCGACUUCAUAUUUGCUUGGCCCAAAUUGAUUCAUCAUGUUGGGUUUUUUAUUUCUUCUAAUUUUUUUUGCUAUGGCAUUACCCCUUUUGUAAUAUACCCCGUUGGCCCAUCAUUGUUUUGUUUUACUAUUUAUAUUCUUGGUUUAUUGUUUGCACCUAUUAUUAUGAAAGUGAAUUACAAAUAUAUUAAACACUUUCAAAAAAAAAAAGAAAAAAAAAUUAGAGUUUUUAUCAUAUUCAAUUCUUUUUUUCCUUUUAUUUGUUCUUUUUUCUUUAUCAUAAAGGAAAUACAAAAAUAUUAAAUACUGUUAGAUGGAUGAUUUAGAUUUCCCUUACCAAAUAAAGUUUCAAAACUACUUAGAAAUAAUUUUGACUCUUUGUUUGCUUGACUUGUUUAGUCUUUGGUGUUUGUGUAAAUACUUGCUUGUGUGUUUAUCCAUGAUUUAUUUAGUCUUGUAUUUUUCAUAAUUCAUUCAAACGUAAAUCAAAUGUUUGACCCAACAUCAAGCACUUUUCAUAAUCAAACUAAAAAGCAUUUACUCCAUACUUUGACCUUUUCAUAAUAAAUAGAGAAAAUGGCUACCUGGGUGAAAGAUCCAGUCAUAGCUCCGAUGUAUUAGGCCCAAGUAGUAAUUGCUUGCAAGUCAUAAAUACUUUGUCCUUCUCUAAAAAUACAAACACGUCACAACUUCAUAAUAAAUCAAAAGAAAAAGGCUACAUGGGUGAAAGGUCCAGUAAUAGUCCCAAACACCAAGCCCGAGUAGUAAUUGCUUGCAAGGUCAAGUGUUUAUCUUUCAUUAAAAAUACUUAUAACUACUCAAACACUUUCACAACAAAUUAAAAAGAAAAAGACUACCUGGAUGAAAGUUCCAGUCAUAAUCCUGACUAUUAGAACCAAGUAGUAAUUGCUUGCAAGUCAUGAAUAUUCGUCUUCCAAACCCUAAAACACACUUAAACAAAUAAAACCUAUCUUUUCUCGCCCCGUGCGAUCGAAACCCUUUUCAGAAAGAACAUUGUUUAGUCUGUUCUAAUGCGAAUGCAAACUAGAGCUUAAGCCUCCACCACGAGUAGACAAGCCAACAUUUAACCGUUAGAGCGCAAUCUAAACAAACCAACCAACAAAAACGUAGCCUUUCCCGAACUAAGAAGCUUUGAGUUCCUCAUUGUACCCGAGGAUACGUAGGAGCGAGAUCUUCAAUCUCAUUAAGCACCCUAUUAAAAAAAUUGAGACCCCUUUUCUUUUUUAUUUUGUACAUUUUAUCAUUCGAAGAAAACAAUUAACGAUGGCUAACAUUCAAUCGCAAAUCUAACUAAAAGGUUCUCGUUGAAUACAACAGACAUGAUGAGUGUUAAUGCUUUUCCCUUGCGUAAUCGACUCCCGAACCUGAAUAUGGUUGUCGUGACCAUUUUCUUUCUUAAAGGUUUUAUCAAUAUUUUCCCUUUCCUUCAUUGGAAUAAAUAAAUUUAUGUGGCGACUUUGUUCAAAUCAUUUUUUUCGCGACCAUCGCAAAGGAUUAUAAUUUUUGAGAUGCAACUAAGACAACAUGAGAAUCAUCAAAAUAGACGGAUAACACAUGCAUCUCCCAAUGUAGGGUGCCUAGUCACCCAUUCAUCAUAAUACACACCCAUUAUCUCUAUAAUUCGUCCUUUGAUUAAUCACUCGUCUUAUGGGUGGAUCGGACUCUGAAGGUGGUUCAAGCUAUGAAGGUGGAGCUUCUAAAGGUGAUCGUUCUUAUGAAGGGUUUUAAAGGCCAUAAAGAGUUAGACAGAUACCAAGGAGAUUUGCAGAUUUUGGAGUUGCUGCAAGUUGCUGAGAUUGAUUCUGAAGGAGAGGUCAUACAGAGUGCCAUGAUAGUGGAGUAUAAGCCUAUCAUAAUCAUUGAGGCUCUCAAGAAGAAGGUGUAGGUGAACUCCAUUAAGGAAGAGCUUGAGGCCAUUGAAAGAAACAAGACAUGGAAAUUGAUUGUUCUACCUCAGAACAAGAAAGUCAUCAAUGUGAUAUGGGUUUUCAAGAUAAAAUUGAAGCCAGAUGGUUCAGUUGCUAAGUAUAAAUCAAGGUUAUUAGCUAGAGGAUUCCUACAAAAUUCUAGUUUAUACUAUUUUGAAGUGUUUGCACCUAUAGUCAGACAUGAAACCAUAAGGUUGGUUAUUGCUAUAGUUGCAAAUAGGAAUUAGCCUAUAAUACACUUAGAUGUAAAUUUAGAUUUUCUAAAUGGUCCAUUGCAAGAAUAAGUUUAUGUGUUACAACCUCCUGAAUUUGUGAAAGAGAACAAAGAAGGGAUGAUGUAUAAGCACAUAAAGCUUUGUACGGGCUGAAACAAGUUUCAAGGGCUUGGAAUCUAAAGAUUGAUUCAUUUUUCAAGCAUCUAGGAUCCAAGAAAUGUGAAAUGGAAUUAAUAUAAUGUGUAUGUGCAGCAUACUUCUGAAAGUAAUAUGAUUCAGACGUUUCUUUAUGUGGAUGACAUACUUUUGACAGAGAGUUGUAUUUCUGAGAUAAACAAGUUCAAGAAGGUGCUGAUGAAUGCAUUUAGUAUGAAUGGCCUUAGAAAUAUGAUAUAUUUUCUAGGGAUGGAGAUUUUACAUUUUGAGAAGGGAAUUAUUGUGCAUCAACUGAAGUAUGAACUUGAUUUGCUGACGCGAUUUGAGUUGAUGAAUUGUAAGUCAACAGUCAACCCUAAUGAGACAAAUCAUAAACUGGACUCUGGUGAUGAUGGUGAGAAUGUAGAUGCUACAACAUUCAAACAGUUAGUUGGUUUUUUUAGAUAUCUGUCUAAAACCAGGCUUAACAUAUGUUAUACAGUUGAAAUGGUGAGUAAGUUUAUGAGUAAAGCAAAGUGGUCAUAUUACCAAGCUGUAGUCAGAAUUCUGAGAUAUGUAAAAGAAUCUUUGAGGCAUGAAAUUUUGUUUCAUCUGGAGAAUCAGAUAAUGUUGAUCUGAUAUGCUACUCAGACUCUGACUGGUGUGGUGACAAAAUGAACAAAAGAAACACUACAUGAUACACGUUUAUGUAUCUAGGGGCUCCUAUUUUUUGGUGUUACAAGAAGCAAUCAGUUGUUGCAUUGUCAAUUUGUGAAGCUAAAUAUAUAGCUGGUGUUUUGUCAAUCUACCAUAAAUCUUGCUAAGAAUUCAAUGUUGCAUGGAAGAAUACAAUCAGAUUCAUAAUGAAAUAUUUGAGGUUGUUCAUAUCAACACUCAUGGGCAACUUCCAGAUGUGCUGACCAAGACAAUCAAAAUUGAACACUUUAUUAAUUUAAAAGAUAAAAUUGAUGUUGUUGAUAGUUAAACUUAAAUGGGAAUUGUUCAAGUUAUUUUAGUUUUGAAUUUCAUUUGCUUUUAAAUUUCAUAUGUGAAUUUGAUUGUUUGUAUAAACUCAAAUUUAAUUAUAUUUAUAAUAGAUUUUAGUUUUGCAAUUUCGAGCAAUUUUAAGAUUAGAAAAUUUAUUUUUUUCAAUUCUCUGCUCCACCACUGUUGUUCAUCUUCUUGUAUAUUAAUUAAUAGAAAUUCAGUGUUAACUCUAACCAAAACUGGAAAAGAAAUAUGAAAGACAAAAUUUCUCUUAAAGAAAAUAGUGUAUUCUCUGCCACCACUGUUCUUCAUCUUCUUGUAUAUUAUUAAUUCUAACCCAAACCGGUGUGAUUAUGAAAAGAAAUAUGAAAGACAAAAUUUCUCUUAAAAGAAAUUGGCCUUUGAAAAAAAGAUAGUGUGAUGUAUUUAUCUUCAUUAUCAUAAAAGUUAUUAUCAAUAGAGUAAUAUUAUUUCUACAUCAAUUUUUUACACUAAUAUUUAUAUCAAAUAUUAUUCACCAUACAAUAGUAUUUUUUUAAAUAAAAUAAUAUUAAACUUAUUUUAAAUUAAAAAUAUUUUUUAAAAUUAAUUUUAUAAUAUAAUAUUUAUCAUUAAUCAAUUUUAAUAAAAAUACAUGUUAUUAAUUGCAUAUUUUCUGAUAACUUAUUAAUCAAUUUCAUUAUUUUAUUAAUUAAUAAAAUAUUUAAUAUUAAUCAAAUUCUAAUAUUAGUUUAUUAUUUAAUUAAUGAAUUUUAAAAAUUAGAAAAAAUAAAUAAUAAAAUAAAUUGGUUAAUAUUAUACAAUUUUAUAAACUAGUAACUACAUAAUAUUAAGCAAUUUUAUUUAGUAUUUAUUAUUUUUAAAUUUUCAAAAUUUAUUAAUCAAAUUAUAAAUUAAUGUUACAACUGGAUUAAUACUAUGUAUUUUAUUGGUUAAAGAAAUAAUAAAAUUAAUUAAUAAAUUAUUUAGAAAAUAUAUGGUUAAUAAUAUAUAUUUUUAUGGUUAAUAAAAUAAUAAAAUUGAUUAAUAAUAAAUGUUAUGUUUUUAUUACAAAAUUAAUUUUUUUUUAAUAUAUUUUUAGAAAUAAAAUUUUAAUAUUAUUAUUUGAUGUAGAUAUUGGGGUAGAAAAUGGAGUGUAGGAAUAACCUUACUCUUAUCAAUAUACACGGUGAUCGGUCCUGAAUCAAGGAAAAGUAAUACAAUAUCUCUCGUAUAGAGGAGGAAACAUAUAAGCUUAUAGAGGAGGAAACAUAUAAGCUUAUUGAAACACUACUUUUAUUUUCUAUAUACUAUAUGAUUACACGUACGUACACACACAAAAUCAUAGUCAUCAUCAUGUACAUACACGAGUGACCAAUCACAAUAUAGAGGAGGAAACAUAUAAGCUUAUUGAAACACUACUUUUAUUUUCUAUAUACUAUAUGAUUACACGUACGUACACACACAAAAUCAUAGUCAUCAUCAUGUACAUACACGAGUGACCAAUCACAUAAACAAAUAAUGACUAAUAAAUAAAUCGAAUUCCUAACCGCCUAAAGCAAGAAUUCAAUAAAAUAAAAUAAAAAUAUUUAUAGACAGACACGUCUAAGCUAAAACCAUGGAGACGAAUAUUCCAGCAAGAGAAGUAAUGGCAACAAAGGUAUUUGUGAUAGAGAAUGCAGCUGAGGGUGCCUCAGCUUCUCCUGGGUUUGAUGCUGGGCCAUUUGUUCCUGGUGCUGGUGGAGAAGAAGUGUUUGGAAUUGGUGAUGAAGGAGAUGGUGAUGGAGAAGAAGUAGUUGUAGGAGAGGGUGCUGGAGAAGUCUUUGUGGAGGGUGAUGGAGCAGGUGCUGAAUUGGGUGAUAAUGAUCGGGUAGGUGCGGGUGCAGGAGCCUGUUGUGCUAUGCAUGAAGUAGCCAACAACCCCAAUAUCACAAACACUUUGAUUGCAACAGAACCCAUGUUUUUAUAUGUUUUUUUGAUAGAGAAGAAUGUUUAGUGAAAUAUGAUUGAAUCAAUUAUAGAGAAGAAUGGACUAAGGUUAUUGAUUUGUGUUGUCCAAAAUAUAUAGUGAAAAAUAAAUAUGAUACUGGUGGUGUGUAUUUCAGCAAAGGCGGUUUGUGAUUAAUAAUGCUCUAUGAACAAGUAAUCAUUAAAAAGGUACUGAGAUCACUUAAUCCUCAGUUUGAUUACAUAGUUGUAACCAUAUAACACUUUAAAGAUACCAACAUCAUAAGAAUUGAAGAGCUUCAGAGUAGUUUGAAGGCACAAGAGUUGCGUAUGACUGAAAGAAACUCUGAACAAGUUAGAACAUGCUCUGAAAUCUCAGACUCUAAAAGCUUCUUAUGGAAAGAAGAACCAGAAGCAAACAUGGUUAGAGAAUAAGAAGAAUCUGCCUAAGAAAUUGUGGGGUGAUGAAAUUUCUACUUCAGUAUAUGUGCUCAAUAGAUGUCCAAUAAAGAAGUUAAAGGAAAUAGUUUUUAUUGAGAAGUGAACUGGAAGAAAGCAAAGUGUUAGCCAUUUUAAGGUAUUUGGUUCAAUAUGUUACACACAUAUACCAGAUGCUACUAGAAGGAAGUUGGAUGACAAAAACAAGGUUAUGUUGCUUAUAGUUUACCAUAGUACAUGUACUUAUAAGCUCAAUUGCCAAGUCACCAACAAAGUUGAAGUCAAUAGAGAUGUCAUAGUCAAAUAAUCAUAAACAUGGGAUUGGAGCAAGUCUCAAUCCAACUAUAGUGUAGUGUCAUCGCUAGAGUCUGAUUCUUCCUCUGAAGGAGAUUCUGUCUCUGAAGGUGAUUCUAAGAUGACUUUAAAUCUGAAAGUGAGUUUGGCUCUGCAGAUGACUUUGACUUUGAAGGUGACUCUGAUGGUGGAUCGGACUCUGAAGGUGGUUCAAGCUAUGAAGGUGGAGCUUCUAAAGGUGAUCGUUCUUAUGAAGGGUUUCAGAGGCCAUAAAGAGUUAGACAGAUACCAAGGAGAUUUGCAGAUUUUGGAGUUGCUGCAAUUUGUUGAGAUUGAUUUUGAAGGAGAGGUCAUACAGAGUGCUAUGAUAGUGGAGUAUAGGCCUAUCAUAAUCAUUGAGGCUCUCAAGAAGAAGGUGUAGGUGAACGCCAUUAAGGAAGAGCUUGAGGCCAUUGAAAGAAACAAGACAUGAAAAUUGAUUGUUCUACCUCAGAACAAGAAAGUCAUCAAUGUGAUAUGAGUUUUCAAGAUAAAAUUGAAGCCAGGUGGUUCAGCUGCUAAGUAUAAAUCAAGGUUAUUAGCUAGAGGAUUCCUACAAAGUUCUAGUUUAUACUAUUUUAAGUGUUUGCACCUGUAGUCAGACAUGAAAUCAUAAGGUUGGUUAUUGCUGUAGUUGCAAAUAGGAAUUAGCCUAUAAUACACUUAGAUGGUAAUUUAGAUUUUCUAAAUGGUCCAUUGCAAGAAGAAGUUUAUGUGUUACAACCUCCUAAAUUUGUGAAAGAGAACAAAGAAGGGAUGGUGUAUAAGCACAUAAAGCUUUAUACGGGCUGAAACAAGUUCCAAGGGCUUGGAAUCUAAAGAUUGAUUCAUUUUUCAAGCAUCUAGGAUCCAAGAAAUGUGAAAUGGAAUAUAAUGUGUAUGUGCAACAUACUUAUGAAAGUAAUAUGAUUCUGACGUUUCUUUAUGUGGAUGACAUAUUUUUGACAGAGAGUUGUAAUUCUGAGAUAAACAAGUUUAAGAAGGUGCUGAUGAAUGCAUUUAGUAUGACUGGCCUUAGAAAUAUGAUAUAUUUUCUAGGGAUGGAGAUUUUGCAUUCUGAGAAGGGAAUUAUUGUGCGUCAACUGAAGUAUGAACUUGAGUUGCUGACGCGAUUUGAGUUGAUGAAUUGUAAGUCAACAGUCAACCCUGAUGAGACAAAUCAUAAGUUGGACUAUGAUGAUGAUGGUGAGAAUGUAGAUGCUACAACAUUCAAACAGUUAGUUGGUUUUUUGAGAUAUCUGUCUAACACCAGGCUUAACAUAUGUUAUACAUUUAAAAUGGUGAGUAAGUUUAUGAGUAAAGCAAAGUGGUCAUAUUAUCAGGCUGUAGUCAGAAUUCUGAGAUAUGUAAAAGAAACUCUGAGGCAUAAAAUUUUGUUUCAUCUAGAGAAUCAGAUAAUGUUGAUCUGAUAUGCUACUCAGACUCUGACUGGUGUGGUGACAAAAUGGACAAAAGAAAAACUACAUGAUACACGUUUAUGUAUUUAGGGACUCCUAUUUCUUGGUGUUACAGGAAGCAAUCAGCUGUUACAUUGUCAAUUUGUGAAGCUAAAUAUAUAGUUGGUGCUUUGUCAAUCUAUCAUAAAUCUUACUAAGAAUCCAGUGUUGCAUGGAAGAAGCAAACACAUUGAUAUCAUUUUCUACACAACCAGGUUGAUAAUGAAAUAUUUGAGAUUGUUCAUAUCAACACUCAUGAGCAACUUACAGAUGUGCUGACCAAGACGAUCAAAACCGAACAUUUUAUUAAUUUAAAGGAUAAAAUUGAUGUUGUUGAUAGUUAAACUUAAAUGGGAAUUGUUCAAGUUAUUUUUGAAUUUCAUUUGCUUUUAAAUUUCAUAUGAAUUUGAGUUGAAUUUGAUUGUUUGUAUAAACUCAAAUUUAAUUAUAUUUAUAACAGAUUUUAGUUUUGCAAUUUCGAGCAAUUUCAAGAUUGGAAUUUUUUUUUUUUCAAUUCUCUGCUCCACCACUGUUGUUCAUCUUGUAUAUUACUCCCUCCGUUUCUUUUUAAGUGUCGUUUUAGAAGAUUUUUUUUGUUCCUAUUUAAGUGUCGUUUUGAUGUUUUAAUGUUACAAUUUGUCAAUUAUACCCUUACUAUUUAAAUUAAUCAAACUUUGAUAUUUUCCAUAAAUUUUUCUUUCUUAUAUAUGUAAUAACUCACUCCACAUUUUCCAUAAAAUUCUCUUUCUUAUACGUACUCUCAUUCCCAUACAUAACUCCCAUUCCUAUUCAAAGUAUUGUCUGGUCAAUAAAAAUUAAAUUCAAAUGAUAGCUUCCAAUGUUACAUAGAAAAAUGUAUUAGCAUUAAAUUUUGUCAAAGGAACAAAUUUACCAAUUGAAGACUUAAAAUUCUAUAAAAAGGAUCAGUAGCAUUGUUUAAAUUAUCAAAGUGCAAAACAAAAGAGCUCUGGUGGAAACAACAAAAGACUCCAUGGAUGUUCAAAAAAAGAAAGAGUGGGAAGACACAUGAAAUUAAAAAAAUAUACCUGUGUCAUUGUUGUUUCAACCUCCUCUUGUAAGUUAUCUUCACAGGACUCAUCAAUAUUAUUGGUUGCUUCAAACUCCUCUUCUAAGUUAUCUUCAUCAAACUCAUAUAACUCAAAUAUAUGUUGGUUUGUUAAUGAUGUUUCUGUAUCACUAUCUAAAUCCAUAUUUUAUGAGUUGUAAAUAUUUUGAACUUAUAUAUGAAACCAUACUAUAUGUUACACUGGUUUUAAUUUUUCGUGGGAAACUUAAGUUUUUAUUAAAUAAUGGAGGGAUAUUUUUUCCUUUAGCCAUUCAUUGAAACAAUAAGCAAUAAGUUUUCCUUUAGCCAUUAAUGAAAAUGCAAGCGUACGUAUCCUAUAGCAAGCAAUAUUAAUUCCAAAAAUUUAGGGGUAGUUGAAAAUGCAACGGAGAGAGAGAGGAGUUAUGUGGAGAAAAUUAUGGAAUAGUUAUUUGAAGUAAAUAAUUUAAUGAGUACUGUAUAGUUAAUGAAUUUUAUUUAGAAAGAGAAAGUAUAUGGUGGAUUAAAAUGAGGGUACAAUGGGAAAAAAAUUAUAACAAUUCAUUUAUCUUGGUUGGAGAGCUUUAUGCUAAAACGACACUUAAAAAGAAACGGAGGGAGUAAUUAAUAGAAAUUCAGUGUUAACUCUAAUCAAAAACUGAAAAAAAAUAUGAAAGACAAAAUUUCUCUUGAAAAAAAUAGUGUAUUCUCUGCCACCACUGUUCUUCAUCUUGUAUAUUAUUAAUGAAAAUUCACUGACUCUAACCCAAACUGGUGUGAUUAUGAAAAGAAAUAUGGAAGACAAAAUUUUUCUUAAAAAAAUAUUGGCCUUUUGAAAAAAAAUAGUGUGAUGUAUUUAUCAUCAUUAUCAUAAAAGUUAUUAUCAAUAUACACGGUGAUCGGUCCUGAAUCAAGGAAAAGUAAUACAAUAUCUCUCGUAUAGAGGAAUCAUAUAGGCUUAUUGAAACAACUAAUUUUAUUUAGUAUAUACUAUAUGAUUACACGUACGUAUACACACAGAAUCAUAGUCGUGAUAAAUUACAGAAACAAAUAACGACUAAUAAAUAAAUCGAAUUCCUAACCGCCUAAAGCAAGAAUUCAAUAAAAUAAAAAAUAUAUAUUUAUAGACAGACACGUCUAAGCUAAAACCAUGGAGACGAAGAUUCCAGCAAAAGAAGU